GGUAGUGUGGCCGAGCGGUCCAAGGCGCUGGAUUAAGGUUCGAGAGUCGUGGGUUCAAAUCCCAUCACUGCCA